rnacentral:rRNA from 1 species
UUCACGGAGAGUUUGAUCCUGGCUCAGGACGAACGCUGGCGGCGCGCUUAACACAUGCAAGUCGAGCGAGAACCGGCCCUUCGGGGCCGGGGACAGCGGCGAACGGGUGAGUAACACGUGGGUAAUCUGCCCUCGGUAUCCGGAUAGCCCGGGGAAACCCGGAUUAAUACGGAAUGGCCCUUUGGAUCUUCGGAUUUGAAGGAAAAGGUAGCUUCGGCCUCCGACCGAGGAUGAGCCCGCGGCGGAUUAGCUUGUUGGUGGGGUAACGGCCUACCAAGGCGACGAUCCGUAGCUGGUCUGAGAGGACGAUCAGCCACACUGGGACUGAGACACGGCCCAGACUCCUACGGGAGGCAGCAGUGGGGAAUCUUGCGCAAUGGGCGAAAGCCUGACGCAGCGACGCCGCGUGAGGGAAGAAGGCCUUCGGGUUGUAAACCUCUUUCAGGAGGGACGAAGCCAC